AUCAUUAGUGAAUUGCUCUUUGAGCGUUAAACUAUAUCCAUCUACACCUGUGAACUGUUGAUUGACUUCGGUCAAUUACUUUUACGAACAUUGUGUAAUGAACGUCAUGUUAUUAUAACAAAAAUAACUUUCAACAACGGAUCUCUUGGCUCUCGCAUCGAUGAAGAACGCAGCGAAAUGCGAUAAGUAACGUGAAUUGCAGAAUUCAGUGAAUCAUCGAAUCCUUGAACGCAACUUGCGCUCUCUGGUAUUCCGGAGAGCAUGCCUGUUUGAGUAUCAUGAAAUCUCAACCAUUAGGGUUUCUUAAUGGCUUGGAUUUGGGCGCUGCCACUUGCCUGGCUCGCCUUAAAAGAGUUAGCGUAUUAACUUGUCAAUCUGGCGUAAUAAGUUUCGCUGGUGUAGACUUGAGAAGUGCGCUUCUAAUCGUCUUCGGACAAUUCUUGAACUCUGGUCUCAAAUCAGGUAGGACUACCCGCUGAACUUAAGCAUAUCAAUAAGCGGAGGA
rnacentral:rRNA from 1 species